ensembl:lncRNA
GAUGGAGGUAGAUAUGCAUAGGGGAAGGGGACAGGGGAGUGAUGGAGGUAGAUAUGUAUAGGGGGAAGGGGACAGGGGAGUGAUGGAGUUAGAUAUGUAUAGGGGAAGGGGACAGGGAUACUGGAGUGAUGGAGGUAGAUAUGUAUAGGAGACAGGGAUACUGGAGUGAUGGAGGUAGAUAUGUAUAGGAGACAGGGAUACUGGAGUGAUGGAGGUAGAUAUGUAUAGGGGGAAGGAGACAGGGAUACUGGAGUGAUGGAGGUAGAUAUGUAUAGGGGGAAGGGAUACUGGAGUGAUGGACGUAGAUAUGUAUAGGGGUAAGGAGACAGGGAAACUGGAGUGAUGGAGGUAGAUAUGUAUAGGGGGAAGGAGACAGGGAUACUGGAGUGAUGGAGGUAGAUAUGUAUAGGGGGAAGGAGACAGGGAUACUGGAGUGAUGGAGGUAGAUAUGUAUAGGGGAAGGGGACAGGGAUACUGGAGUGAUGAGGUAGAUAUGUAUAGGGGAAGGGGACAGGGAUACUGGAGUGAUGGAGGUAGAUAUGUAUAGGAGACAGGGAUACUGGAGUGAUGGAGGUAGAUAUGUAUAGGGGAAGGGGACAGGGAUACUGGAGUGAUGGAGGUAGAUAUGUAUAGGAGACAGGGAUACUGGGGUGAUGGAGGUAGAUACAGUGCCUUCGGAAGUUAUUCAGACCC